UACGUAGGGGGCAAGCGUUGUCCGGAAUCAUUGGGCGUAAAGCGCGUGUAGGCGGCUCGGUAAGUCUGCUGUGAAAGUCCAGGGCUCAACCCUGGGAUGCCGGUGGAUACUGUCGAGCUCGAGUCCGGAAGAGGCGAGUGGAAUUCCUGGUGUAGCGGUGAAAUGCGCAGAUAUCAGGAGGAACACCAAUGGCGAAGGCAGCUCGCUGGGACGUGACUGACGCUGAGGAGCGAAAGCCAGGGGAGCAAACGGG
rnacentral:rRNA from 1 species